AGAUUUAGUAAUUUACUGGUUAAUUACUUAUGUUCAGUGUAAGAGGUGGGUGAUCAAUUAGACUAUUUUUGUUACACUUAACCUUUCAAGAUACGAUGAUAAUAACAUUGUUCAACAAAGGCUUAAAACAAAAGGAAAUCAGCUGUGUACUCAAUUCAUAUGGGCAUAAAAUAAGUGAGAGGCAUCUGAGACGAGUUUUAAAACUUCUAGGGUUGAAGCGAA